GCGCCCAUGGCUCAAUUGGAUAGAGCACCUGACUACGGAUCAGGAGGUUUGGGGUUCGAAUCCCUAUGGGCGUGCCA
rnacentral:tRNA from 1 species